rnacentral:rRNA from 1 species
CGGCGGACGGGUGAGUAAUGCCUAGGAAUCUGCCUGGUAGUGGGGGACAACGUUUCGAAAGGAACGCUAAUACCGCAUACGUCCUACGGGAGAAAGCAGGGGACCUUCGGGCCUUGCGCUAUCAGAUGAGCCUAGGUCGGAUUAGCUAGUUGGUGAGGUAAUGGCUCACCAAGGCGACGAUCCGUAACUGGUCUGAGAGGAUGAUCAGUCACACUGGAACUGAGACACGGUCCAGACUCCUACGGGAGGUAGCAGAC